CAAUCACAAUGACCUCACAGAUAAAACACUGAGUGUGGCAACUGGAGCAGGAUAAGCCAGAAAUUGCUUUGGGUGACUGAUUUCUGGACAAACUGAAGAGCACUCAAAGAUAAGCAAGCUAGGGUCAUAUCCACACAUCCAUCCUGAAAGAACUGUUUGAGGAUAUAUUCUAGCAAAUUAAACAAUGGCUCU